AGUCGAGGGGUAUAGUAGCAAUACUUAGAGACCGGCGCACGGGUGAGUAACGCGUAUGCAACCUGCCCUUUACUGGAGGAUAGCCCGUAGAAAUGCGGAUUAAUACCCCAUAGUAAUGUUGGAUCGCAUGAUCUGGCAUUUAAAGUUUCGGCGGUAAAGGAUGGGCAUGCGUGACAUUAGCUAGUUGGAGAGGUAACGGCUCACCAAGGCUUCGAUGUCUAGGGGUUCUGAGAGGAAGAUCCCCCACACUGGUACUGAGACACGGACCAGACUCCUACGGGAGGCAGCAGUGAGGAAUAUUGGUCAAUGGGCGAGAGCCUGAACCAGCCAUCCCGCGUGCAGGAAGAAUGCCCUAUGGGUUGUAAACUGCUUUUUCGCAUGAAGAACACCCCUGACGUGUCAGGGGCUGACGGUAAUGCGUGAAUAAGCACCGGCUAACUCCGUGCCAGCAGCCGCGGUAAUACGGAGGGUGCAAGCGUUAUCCGGAUUUAUUGGGUUUAAAGGGUGCGUAGGCGGCUAUUUAAGUCAGUGGUGAAAUCCUGCAGCUUAACUGUAGAACAGCCAUUGAAACUGAAUAGCUUGAGUGAUCUUGAGGUAGGCGGAAUGUGUAGUGUAGCGGUGAAAUGCUUAGAUAUUACACAGAACACCGAUUGCGAAGGCAGCUUACUAAGGAUUUACUGACGCUGAUGCACGAAAGCGUGGGGAUCAAACAGGAUUAGAUACCCUGGUAGUCCACGCCGUAAACGAUGAUAACUCGCUGUUGGCGAUACACAGUCAGCGGCUUAGCGAAAGCGUUAAGUUAUC
rnacentral:rRNA from 1 species